UACGUAGGGUCCGAGCGUUGUCCAGAAUUAUUGGGCGUAAAGGGCUCGUAGGCGGUUUGUCACGUCGGGAGUGAAAACACGGGGCUUAACCCCGUGCCUGCUUCCGAUACGGGCAGACUAGAGGUAUGCAGGGGAGAACGGAAUUCCUGGUGUAGCGGUGAAAUGCGUAGAUAUCAGGAGGAACACCGAUGGCGAAGGCAGGUCUCUGGGCUGACACUGACGCUCAUGCACGAAAGCGUGGGGAGCAAACAGG
rnacentral:rRNA from 1 species